AUGAACGCUGGCGGCGUGCCUAAUACAUGCAAGUCGAGCGAACGGACGAGAAGCUUGCUUCUCUGAUGUUAGCGGCGGACGGGUGAGUAACACGUGGAUAACCUACCUAUAAGACUGGGAUAACUUCGGGAAACCGGAGCUAAUACCGGAUAAUAUUUUGAACCGCAUGGUUCAAAAGUGAAAGACGGUCUUGCUGUCACUUAUAGAUGGAUCCGCGCUGCAUUAGCUAGUUGGUAAGGUAACGGCUUACCAAGGCAACGAUGCAUAGCCGACCUGAGAGGGUGAUCGGCCACACUGGAACUGAGACACGGUCCAGACUCCUACGGGAGGCAGCAGUAGGGAAUCUUCCGCAAUGGGCGAAAGCCUGACGGAGCAACGCCGCGUGAGUGAUGAAGGUCUUCGGAUCGUAAAACUCUGUUAUUAGGGAAGAACAUAUGUGUAAGUAACUGUGCACAACUUGACGGUACCUAAUCAGAAAACCACGGCUAACUACGUG
rnacentral:rRNA from 1 species